UACGUAGGUGGCAAGCGUUGUCCGGAUUUACUGGGCGUAAAGGGAGCGUAGGUGGAUAUUUAAGUGGGAUGUGAAAUACUCGGGCUUAACCUGGGUGCUGCAUUCCAAACUGGAUAUCUAGAGUGCAGGAGAGGAAAGUAGAAUUCCUAGUGUAGCGGUGAAAUGCGUAGAGAUUAGGAAGAAUACCAGUGGCGAAGGCGGCUUUCUGGACUGUAACUGACACUGAGGCUCGAAAGCGUGGGGAGCAAACAGGAUUAGAUACC
rnacentral:rRNA from 1 species